rnacentral:rRNA from 1 species
UACGUAGGGCGCAAGCGUUGUCCGGAAUUAUUGGGCGUAAAGAGCUCGUAGGCGGUCUCUUAAGUCGGUGGUGAAAUCCUGGAGCUCAACUCCAGAACUGCCUUCGAUACUGGGAGUCUCGAGUCCGGGAGAGGUGAGUGGAACUGCGAGUGUAGAGGUGAAAUUCGUAGAUAUUCGCAAGAACACCAGUGGCGAAGGCGGCUCACUGGCCCGGUACUGACGCUGAGAUGCGAAAGCGUGGGGAGCAAACAGG